AAUAUUGGAUAAUGGGGGCAACCCUUAUCCAGCCAUGCCGCGUGUGUGAAGAAGGUCCUCCGAUUGUUAAGCACUUUAAGUUGGGAGGAAGGGCUGUAGGUUAAUACACUGAAGUUUAGACGUUACCAACAGAAUAAGCACCGGCCAACUCUGUGCCAGCAGCCGCGGUAAUACAGAGGGUGAAAGCGUUAAUCGGAAUUACUGGGCGUAAAGCGCGCGUAGGUGGUUCAGUAAGAUGGGGGAGAAAACCCCGGGCUGAACCUGGGAACUGCUUUCAUAACUGCUGAACUAGAGUACGGUAGAGGGUAGUGGAAUUUUCUGUGUAGCGGUGAAAUGCGUAGAAAUAAGAAGGAACACCAGUGGCGAAGGCGACUACCUGGACUGAUACUGACACUGAGGUGCGAAAGCGUGGGGGGCAAAC
rnacentral:rRNA from 1 species